GGCGAGGCGGGCGCUGGCGGUGGGGGCUGCCGGGGCGCCGGGGGCGGCGGGGCGGCGCGGCGGGCACCGGGCGCGGGCAGAGCUGCGGGCACCAGCGACGCCGGUGUCGCCGCCGCCGCCACCACCACCACCGGGCGGAUCCGCGCUUCUGCCGGAGCUUCUUUUCGUCGCUUUACUUUCGCGGCCCGGAGCAGGGACAUUAUGCCGAAGAGAAAGUCUCCAGAGGGUGCUGAAGGCAAGGAUGCAGCAAAAGUAACUAAACAAGAGCCCACAAGACGAUCAGCAAGAUUGUCAGCUAAACCUGCUCCGCCAAAACCUGAACCCAAACCAAGGAAAACCACGAAGAAGGAACCUGGGACAAAGGCCAACAAAGGUGCUAAAGGGAAGAAGGAUGAAAAACAAGAAGCUGCAAAGGAAGGUACUACACCAUCUGAAAAUGGUGACAAUAAAGCUGAAGAGAUUCGCAUCUCUCGCUCAACUGUUAGUGUUUCAACAUCCAGAGGUGCCCCACCCAGCACACUGUCAGUAAAAGGGCAGAUUGAAACAGUGAAAGUUAAGGGUACGGUAGAGCAUUCAGCAUGUGUGCAGUGAAUAGAAACAGAUAGUAGUGUGGUGCUUUUCAGUGUGAACAAUGGAAGCUGACAGGCUCAGAAAACUGAAUCUGUAGGUGACAAGAAUGAAUGAAAUAUCAUGAAAAUUUUGGGUUGAUUUUAUGUACCUCUUGGACAACUUUUAAAAGAUAUUUUUAUCAAGUAUUUUGUAAAUGCUAAUUUUUUUAGGACUAUGAUAGUUGACAUAUUAAACUGUAUAUGAACAUUUCCCUUCUCAUAACAGUGCUUUUAGAAAUUCCCAUUGUUGCCAAGUAAUAUAAAUAUCAACUUAAUAUUGCAAGGUAUGUGUAAAAUUGGAUCAGCAUUCCAUACACUUGCUUUAAGAAAUUAAGUCUUGUGCAUAUGGUGAUGUUUUUACUGUGCGUAUUUGAAUUUUUCAUGCAGUUUUUCUAGAGCAAUAAUCAGUGGUGCUUUUGUACUUAGGGUUUAUGUGAUUUUAAUGAAACAUGGAUAGAUGUGGCCACCUGCUGACUAUUUUGGGUUCUUUUAAUGGAUUAAAAUAAAAGGUCUCCUUGCCUGCAAAACUACAGCCUCCUAAUGUUUUCUCUAGAUCUGAGGAAUGCCUUACUCGUAUUUUCAACUGUUAAAAGGAAGACUAAAUGAUUCGGCAACAAUUGUUUUGCAUGCAGUCUGUUUGCUUUUUUGCUGAUGUCUGAUUAAAAAAUACCCACACAGGAGUAGGAGGCUGGGAUUUUCUGUGGCCCGCAACUUAAGGGACUUAUAGAUACAUUCUUCAUAGAUACAUUCUUCAGAUAUGCUGUCACAGGGUGAGUAGAGUUGCCAUACUCUAUCAGGAUAUUGUGUCUGUAAUGAGCUAUCAAUACAGAAUGAAUUGCUUGAUUGAUAGGGACGUACAGUAACUUAAAAGUAGCUUUGUUUCUCCCCCACGCUCUUUUCAUUCAUUUGCAUCGUACUCUGUGGAAACCUUUCUUUCUAUCUGCAGCCUCAAAUUUAAUAUAAAUAGUAAUUGCUGUUCUGCUUCAGCUGAGGACAGUUGUUAAUACAUUGAAAUCGCUGUUAAACAGCGCUAUAUAUUUGGUACCUGGUAGAAAUGGAACAAUGAAAGUUAUUUUUGAGGUGAUUGUGGUGAUAUGGUAGAUUAGCUAAUGAUUUUUUUUAGUGUCCAUGUUUCAAUUCUGCAGCUCAUUCUAAGCACCUUUUAUAAUUUUUCUCCUUCUCUUUUCUCUAGGGGCCCUGGUAUUUCUAUUGUUACUUCUGGGAUGGGAGGGGUGAGAGAAAAGAUGUUCCCUGUUCUUCAGUAACAUUGAUUUGUAUUGCUCAAGUGGUGGCCAUUAUGUCUGAGGAUAUCUUUUGCUUGUUUAAGUCAAUAAAUAAAUGACUGUUGCCUGA